rnacentral:sRNA from 1 species
AAAGGUCCAACGUCAGGGCCACGAUGAAGGAAGAGUUACCUUCAUACAGAUCGGAUAGUCGGCUUCAUGGCUCCGAAAUGUAACCGUUGGA